AGUCCUGUAGGGUAGUGGUCAAUCCUUCGGGCCUUUGGAGCCCGGGACAGCGGUUCGAAUCCGCUCAGGACUA
rfam:Methanosarcina acetivorans str. C2A, complete genome.